CUCGUAGGCGGUUUGUCGCGUCGGGAGUGAAAACACCGGGCUUAACUCGGUGCUUGCUUUCGAUACGGGCAGACUAGAGGCAUGCAGGGGAGAACGGAAUUCCUGGUGUAGCGGUGAAAUGCGCAGAUAUCAGGAGGAACACCGGUGGCGAAGGCGGUUCUCUGGGCAUGUCCUGACGCUGAGGAGCGAAAGUGUGGGGAGCGAACA
rnacentral:rRNA from 1 species